rnacentral:rRNA from 1 species
CCUACGGGUGGCAGCAGUGAGGAAUAUUGGUCAAUGGGCUUACGCCUGAACCAGCCAAGUCGCGUGAGGGAAGACUGCCCUAUGGGUUGUAAACCUCUUUUGUCAGGGAGCAACGCCGGCUACGUGUAGCCGGACUGAGAGUACCUGAAGAAAAAGAAUCGGCUAACUCCGUGCCAGCAGCCGAGGUAAUACGGAGGAUGCGAGGGUUAUCCGGAUUUAUUGGGUUUAAGGGGUGCGUAGGCGGAAUGCCAAGUCAGCGGGAAAAUCGCGGGGCUCAACCGGGCUCCGCAGUUGAAACUGGCGUUCUUGAGUGGGCGGGAAGCAUGCGGAGUGCGUGGUGUAGCGGUGAAAUGCAUAGAUAUGACGCAGAACUCCGAUUGCGAAGGCAGCAUACUGGAGCCCAACUGACGCUGAAGCACGAAAGCGUGGGUAUCGAACAGGAUUAGAUACCCGAGUAGUC